UGGGGGAUAUUGCACAAUGGGCGAAAGCCUGAUGCAGCGACGCCGCGUGGGGGAUGAAGGCCUUCGGGUUGUAAACUUCUUUUGCUCUGAACAAGGCAUGCUAAUGGGUGUGUUGAGUGUAGGGGUUGAUUAGCGCCGGCUAACUACUUGCCAGCAGCCGCGGUAAUACGUAGGGCGCGAGCGUUGUCCGGAAUUAUUGGGCGUAAAGGGCUUGUAGGUGGCUGGUUGCGUCUGUCGUGAAAGCUCAUGGCUUAACUGUGGGUUUGCGGUGGGUACGGGCUGGCUUGAGUGCAGUAGGGGAGGCUGGAAUUCCUGGUGUAGCGGUGGAAUGCGCAGAUAUCAGGAGGAAUACCGGUGGCGAAGGCGGGUCUCUGGGCUGUUACUGACACUGAGGAGCGAAAGCAUGGGGAGCGAACAGG
rnacentral:rRNA from 1 species